CCUACGGGCGGCAGCAGUGAGGAAUAUUGGUCAAUGGGCGGGAGCCUGAACCAGCCAAGCCGCGUGAGGGAAGAAGGUACAGCGUAUCGUAAACCUCUUUUGUCAGGGGACAAAGGCGGGGACUAGUCCCCGGAUGAGGGUACCUGAAGAAAAAGCAUCGGCUAACUCCGUGCCAGCCGCCGCGUUAAUACGGGGGAUGCGAGCGUUAUCCGGAUUUAUGGGGUUUAAGGGGUGCGCAGGGGGCCUGUUCAGUCAGCGGGAAAAGCCCGGGGCUCAACCCCGGCGAGCCGUUGAAACUGGCAGGCUGGAGUUGCAGAGAGGUACGCAGAAUGCGCGGUGUAGCGGUGAAAUGCUUAGAGAUCGCGCAGAACCCCGAUUGCGAAGGCAGCGUACCGGCUCCACACUGACGCUGAGGCACGAAAGCGUGGGUAUCGAACAGGAUUAGAUACCCUUGUAGUC
rnacentral:rRNA from 1 species